UUGGCGGACGGGUGAGUAACGCGUGGGUAACCUGCCUCACACUGGGGGAUAACACUUAGAAAUAGGUGCUGAUACCGCAUAAGCGCACGGGACUGCAUGGUCUUGUGUGAAAAACUCCGGUGGUGUGAGAUGGACCCGCGUCUGAUUAGCUGGUUGGCGGGGUAACGGCCCACCAAGGCGACGAUCAGUAGCCGGCCUGAGAGGGUGGACGGCCACAUUGGGACUGAGACACGGCCCAAACUCCUACGGAAGGCAGCAG
rnacentral:rRNA from 1 species